UAGGGAAUCUUCGGCAAUGGGGGGAACCCUGACCGAGCAACGCCGCGUGAGUGAAGAAGGUUUUCGGAUCGUAAAGCUCUGUUGUUAAGGAAGAACGAGUGUGAGAAUGGAAAGUUCAUGCUGUGACGGUACUUAACCAGAAAGGGACGGCUAACUACGUGCCAGCAGCCGCGGUAAUACGUAGGUCCCGAGCGUUGUCCGGAUUUAUUGGGCGUAAAGCGAGCGCAGGCGGUUAGAAAAGUCUGAAGUGAAAGGCAGUGGCUCAACCAUUGUAGGGUUUGGAAGCUGUUUAACUUGAGUGCAGAAGAAGAGGGUGGAAUUCCAUGUGUAGCGGUGAAAUGCUUAGGUAUAUGGGGGAACACCGGUGGCGUAAGCGGCUCUCUGGUCUGUAACUGAAGCAGAGGCUCGAAAGCGUGGGGAGCGAACAGG
rnacentral:rRNA from 1 species